rnacentral:hammerhead_ribozyme from 1 species
AUCCAGCUGACCAGUUCCAAAUAGGACGAAACGCAUGUCCUGAAU